GCUCAGAUUGAACGCUGGCGGCAGGCCUAACACAUGCAAGUCGAACGGUAGCACAGAGAGCUUGCUCUCGGGUGACGAGUGGCGGACGGGUGAGUAAUGUCUGGGAAACUGCCUGAUGGAGGGGGAUAACUACUGGAAACGGUAGCUAAUACCGCAUAACGUCGCAAGACCAAAGAGGGGGACCUUCGGGCCUCUUGCCAUCAGAUGUGCCCAGAUGGGAUUAGCUAGUAGGUGGGGUAACGGCUCACCUAGGCGACGAUCCCUAGCUGGUCUGAGAGGAUGACCAGCCACACUGGAACUGAGACACGGUCCAGACUCCUACGGGAGGCAGCAGUGGGGAAUAUUGCACAAUGGGCGCAAGCCUGAUGCAGCCAUGCCGCGUGUAUGAAGAAGGCCUUCGGGUUGUAAAGUACUUUCAGCGGGGAGGAAGGUGUUGUGGUUAAUAACCGCAGCAAUUGACGUUACCCGCAGAAGAAGCACCGGCUAACUCCGUGCCAGCAGCCGCGGUAAUACGGAGGGUGCAAGCGUUAAUCGGAAUUACUGGGCGUAAAGCGCACGCAGGCGGUCUGUCAAGUCGGAUGUGAAAUCCCCGGGCUCAACCUGGGAACUGCAUUCGAAACUGGCAGGCUAGAGUCUUGUAGAGGGGGGUAGAAUUCCAGGUGUAGCGGUGAAAUGCGUAGAGAUCUGGAGGAAUACCGGUGGCGAAGGCGGCCC
rnacentral:rRNA from 1 species